AUGAGGUGCCUGGCUCAGCUCCUGGGACUGCUUGUGCUCUGGAUCCCUGGAGCCACUGGGGAUAUUGUGAUGACCCAGGCCACACUCUCCAAUCCUGUCACUCUUGGAGAGUCAGUUUCAAUCUCCUGCAAGUCUAGUAAGAGUCUCCUGCAUAGUAAUGGCAACACUGCUUUGAAUUGGUUUCUGCAGAGGCCAGGCCAGUCUCCUCAGCUCCUCAUAUAUCGGAUGUCGAAUCUUGCCUCAGGAGUCCCUGACAGGUUCAGUGGCAGUGGGUCAGGAACAGAUUUCACUCUGAGAAUCAGUAGAGUGGAGGCUGAGGAUGCAGGUGUAUAUUACUGUAUGCAAAGUCUAGAAUAUCCUCCCACAGUGAUACAGCCCUGA